ensembl:snoRNA small Cajal body-specific RNA 6
GGUCGAUGAUGAAUAGUAAAAGGUCUGACUCCCCAGGUCCUCUCCUGCAUCCCAGGUGGUCCCCAGCUGCCUCUUCUCCAUCCGGCUCCAGUAGUGCUGUUAUGGGCCCAAAGGCAGCUGACAUUUGGUGAUGUCCCUGUCUGGUGUCUCUUGGCAAGCCCAGGGAAGACGCUGUGGUCCGCAUCCAACAGCUUAGUUGCAGAGGGAUUUUGGUCGAUGGGAGUGCUGGACUCUGGGGUUUGAUCUGACGUUUCCAGCUGAGACC